rnacentral:rRNA from 1 species
AGUGAACGCUGGCGGUAGGCCUAACACAUGCAAGUCGAACGGCAGCACAGUAAGAGCUUGCUCUUACGGGUGGCGAGUGGCGGACGGGUGAGGAAUACAUCGGAAUCUACUUUUUCGUGGGGGAUAACGUAGGGAAACUUACGCUAAUACCGCAUACGACCUACGGGUGAAAGCAGGGGAUCUUCGGACCUUGCGCGAUUGAAUGAGCCGAUGUCGGAUUAGCUAGUUGGCGGGGUAAAGGCCCACCAAGGCGACGAUCCGUAGCUGGUCUGAGAGGAUGAUCAGCCACACUGGAGCUGAGACACGGUCCAGACUCCUACGGGAGGCAGCAGUGGGGAAUAUUGGACAAUGGGCGCAAGCCUGAUCCAGCCAUACCGCGUGGGUGAAGAAGGCCUUCGGGUUGUAAAGCCCUUUUGUUGGCAAAGAAAAGCAGCAGGUUAAUACCCCGCUGUUCUGACGGUACCCAAAGAAUAAGCACCGGCUAACUUCGUG